AGCCACAGCCAAAUCACCCUGCAGCCCAAGACCGGUUACUCACUGAAGUUAAGCAGGGCUGAGCCUAGUCAGUACCUGGAUGGGAGACCACAUGGGAAAAAUAUGUUUUUAUUUUAGCUU
rnacentral:rRNA from 1 species